GACAGAGGCCCCAAGCGUUAGGCGGAAUCACUGGGCUUAAAGCGUGUGUAGGCGGAUCGUUAAGUGUCUUGUGAAAUCCCACGGCUCACCCGUGGAACUGCUGGGCAUACUGGCGAUCUUGGGCCAACUAGGGGCAGUCGGAACAAGCGGUGGAGCGGUGAAAUGCGUAGAUAUCGCUUGGAACGCCGAAGGUGAAAACAGACUGCUGGGGUUGCGCCGACGCUGA
rnacentral:rRNA from 1 species